GGGGAAUAUUGCACAAUGGGGGAAACCCUGAUGCAGCGACGCCGCGUGAGUGAAAGAAGUAUUUCGGUAUGUAAAGCUCUAUCAGCAGGGAAGAAAAUGACGGUACCUUGACCAAGAAGCCCCGGCUAACUAC
rnacentral:rRNA from 1 species